UUCUCCGUGAAGAGUCCAACUUUCUGCAGAGAAAAUUUUCACUGCGCGGGUCACCCUAGGUCUGUGGAAUACAAUUACUGGGUGUUACUGAGCGACGUUUCUAUGGACGUGCUCUGGCUUUAUUUUUUGGUGUCCUACUUUUUCAUUUAUUGAUUUUAUAGAAAUGUGAAACUAUUGUCACAUAUUGUUGUCUCACAUGCAAAUGAAUCUUUCCUUCAUGUGUAUCACUACACACUAGUUUAUUUAUUGAAUAGAUACCAAUACACACUGUAGACCAUCAUAUACAGUCGCUGUUGUAUUGUAAGCAGAUCGUACUCAUUGGAGAGUAUUUGGCGUAUUUGUAAUUCCAUGCUUGGCUAACUUUAUUCAAACCGGUCCCAAACGAUUUGUUUGUGAGUGAAAACUACUCAGUGACAGAAGUGGUCAUCUUUGAUUCUGACAGUUGACGUGAGAGUAAUACAGUCAAUUUUAAGCAACCAAAGAAAUCACAAAGUUCUGUGGUGAGGGUUUUAGAAAUCUCCGAUUUAAAUAGUAUAGAUGGCUCAGCAGAAUACCAUGCCCCAUCUUAAUAACCAGUCCAGAUUGCUAUCAGUGACAGACAAGAAUACUGAAUACGAAAUUAUGUUCAAACGAGAAGGUGGAGCUACAAAUCUCGAUUCAAUUAAGUCUAGAGAAUCUAGAACACCAGAACAAAAUGCUAAAACAUAUGAUGAAUGGGUUAUUAAAGGAACAUAUGAACAGGAUACUGCAAGCCUGUGCUAUUCAGGUCCCCAGGUAACUGCCGAUACUGUUGCAAUGGUGUUCCCGAAGAACAAAGAAAAGAUCCGAAUCCUGGACAUGGCAGCUGGUACUGGAUUAGUUGCCAUUAGGGUAAGUUAUAUUAUUUCUUUCGCAUUUCAUUUUAUAAAGUAUACUAGUGUGUAUACUACAGCUAUUAAAAUCUGCCUACGACGGUGCAUGGUCAUAAUAGUAAUCAUAUUUUUUUUAUCGGAAUAAGUCCAAGAAAAUGCCGAUACAGAUCUAGAUUUGGAGACAAUGUGUUAUUUAUUUAUGGUAUAUAUUGAAUAUUUCGAAACGAAACGGUGGGGUUGUUUUAAGGGUGUAUUUGUCUAGUCCGUAGGAUUAGAUAGAUCCCCGGGACCUGCAAAAACUGUGUAGAACUCUGACCUUACAGAGAUCCUGUGGAAUUGACUAAAAUGAGUCGAAAGGGGAUGAAAAUCAAGUUCACGUGAUGUGAGUAAACCGGAAACCUAUCCAUACAGAAAACCUAUACAUAUUAUGGACAACUUAUUUAUACCGAAAACCUAGCCAUACCGACAACCAUUUACUUAAGAAAGAUUUGACAGUAUGACAGAGUAUUUUAACAGAGCUCCCUUUGAUGUUGACGCUAGUUGAACCAAUUCAGCAAAUUAUCAUUUAUAUUGAUAUUGUGAUACCAAAUCUUUAUUUUUUUAUUUUUGUAAUAAUGAACACCUAUUUCACAAUAUAAUACUAGCAUGGAAGAUGGGAUUGAUUUCAGUGAACCCCGGAGGAACCGGAAGAACUCACCUGAUCGGAUAUGACCCUACGGGGACAGGUAAUUCUAUCUAAAAAAAAAACGCGGGACAGAUUCUCCAUUGCAGCUAUUUGUCCAUUCGGUUUUUAUGUUUUACAUUUCCUUAAUAUUUAAUAUUUCAAUUUUUUAAAUUAAUAUUCUACAACUUAAUUUGCUCUUAUGUUUUACAUUUCCUUAAUAUUUAAUAUUUCAAUUUUUUAAAUUAAUAUUCUACAACUUAAUUUGCUCUUUCUCACGUCUACUAAGCUAAAUCUUUAAACUUUUACUUUAGCUAAUAACCAAUGCUCUGUAUGAUUUAUAUCAUACCGUUAUUUAAUGAGAC